UCCGUAGGCAGCGAGCGUUGUUCGGAAUUACUGGGCGUCAAGAGUGCGUAGGCGGUGCUCUAAGUCUGUUGUGAAAUCUCCCGGCUUAACUGGGAGGGUGCGGCGGAAACUGGAGUGCUAGAGUGUGGGAGAGGUACGCGGAAUUCCUGGUGUAGCGGUGAAAUGCGUAGAUAUCAGGAGGAACACCUGCGGUGUAGACAGCUUACUGGACCACGACUGACGCUGAGGCACGAAAGCGUGGGUAGCAAACAGG
rnacentral:rRNA from 1 species